rnacentral:rRNA from 1 species
AUGCAAGCAGGGGAGGUCCCAGCUGCGCCGGCGUGCAGCCACGAAGAUGCAUGCAGGGGAGGUUCCAGGCCGCGACGGCGUUCAUUCUCCGGCCGGAUCACGCCGGAUUCCGGCGGGAAUGGUUCGAGGGUGACCGAAUCCACGCAUGGGGUGGCGAGGCAGGCACUUGAGGCGGCGACGCGUCUCGAUGCAGAACCCAGAGAUUUGAAGAAAGAAAAGGAGCUCUAG